UACUCUUUUGGAAUGCCAGAGAAUCCACGCUGCAUGACCUUUCAUCCAGGCCUUGAGUCCGUCUGCUUGAACCCCUACUCCCUGCAGAAUGCCCUGAAAAUUUAUCAGGCAGACCCUGGGCCAUUAGAGGCAAAGGAACAAGCUGUACGUGCUCGCUGGCUUACAGAAGUUUUGUGUCCUGGUGUCGGUGGAUAGGACAACCGUGUCAUCAUCCCUUCCUGUGUUGUGCCGCAUUCACCAGGAGUUCCCAGACGAAGAUGGCGAGUACACAGGGUUUAAACCUCCCAUUUAAAUGUGUGUUAUAAUUGUUUGAUUUUAUUUGUAGAAUAUGAAAAAAUGGUAGAUACUCAUAAAUGUUUAAAUAUGUUUUCAGCUUUUUCUUUCUGUUUCUGUUGUUGUUUUGUUGUUAAAAUAAGCAUCAUUGCAUUUUCUGUAAUCACAAAAACUACAGAAUUUUACAAACUGAUAAAAUGAAAAAAAUCUAUGUAUCCAAUGUUGCACUUAUAUUAAAUUAUUUCCUGUGUAAUGACA